AGUGAACGCUGGCGGUAGGCCUAACACAUGCAAGUCGAACGGCAGCACAGUAAGAGCUUGCUCUUACGGGUGGCGAGUGGCGGACGGGUGAGGAAUACAUCGGAAUCUACUUUUUCGUGGGGGAUAACGUAGGGAAACUUACGCUAAUACCGCAUACGACCUACGGGUGAAAGCAGGGGAUCUUCGGACCUUGCGCGAUUGAAUGAGCCGAUGUCGGAUUAGCUAGUUGGCGGGGUAAAGGCCCACCAAGGCGACGAUCCGUAGCUGGUCUGAGAGGAUGAUCAGCCACACUGGAACUGAGACACGGUCCAGACUCCUACGGGAGGCAGCAGUGGGGAAUAUUGGACAAUGGGCGCAAGCCUGAUCCAGCCAUACCGCGUGGGUGAAGAAGGCCUUCGGGUUGUAAAGCCCUUUUGUUGGGAAAGAAAAGCAGCAGGUUAAUACCCCGCUGUUCUGACGGUACCCAAAGAAUAAGCACCGGCUAGCUUCGUGC
rnacentral:rRNA from 1 species